rnacentral:rRNA from 1 species
ACGACUCUCGGCAACGGAUAUCUCGGCUCCUGCAUCGAUGAAGAACGUAGCGAAAUGCGAUACCUGGUGUGAAUUGCAGAAUCCCGCGAACCAUCGAGUCUUUGAACGCAAGUUGCGCCCGAGGCCACUCGGCCGAGGGCACGCCUGCCUGGGCGUCACGC